rnacentral:rRNA from 1 species
GACGAACGCUGGCGGCGUGCCUAAUACAUGCAAGUCGAACGCAGUGGGGACGGGUGAGUAACACGUGGGUAACCUCCCAUCAGAGGGGAUAACACUUGGAAACAGGUGCUAAACCGAUACUGAUGGAUGGACCCGCGGUGCAUUAGACAGGUGGUGCGGUAACGGCUCACCAAGGCCACGAGGCAUAGGCGACCUGGGAGGGGGAGCGGCAACACUGGGACUGAGACACGGCCCAUAAUCCUACGGGAGGCAGCAGUGGGUAAUCUUCGGCAAUGGGCGAAAGUCUGACCGAGCAACGCCGCGUGAGUGAAGAAGGUUUUCGGAUCGUAAAACUCUGUUGUUAGAGAAGCGGUAUCUAACCAGAAAGCCACGGCUAACUACGUGCCAGCAGCCGCGGUAAUUC